rnacentral:rRNA from 1 species
GGGUUGUGAGGUUAAGCGACUAAGCGUACACGGUGGAUGCCCUGGCAGUCAGAGGCGAUGAAGGGCGUGCUAAUCUGCGAUAAGCGCCGGUAAGGUGAUAUGAACCGUUAUAACCGGCGAUACCCGAAUGGGGAAACCCAGUGUGUUUCGACACACUAUCAUUAACUGAAUCCAUAGGUUAAUGAGGCGAACCGGGGGAACUGAAACAUCUAAGUACCCCGAGGAAAAGAAAUCAACCGAGAUUCCCCCAGUAGCGGCGAGCGAACGGGGAGGAGCCCAGAGUCUGAAUCAGCAUGUGUGUUAGUGGAAGCGUCUGGAAAGGCGCGCGAUACAGGGUGACAGCCCCGUACACAAAAGCGCAUGUGCUGUGAGCUCGAUGAGUAGGGCGGGACACGUGGUAUCCUGUCUGAAUAUGGGGGGACCAUCCUCCAAGGCUAAAUACUCCUGACUGACCGAUAGUGAACCAGUACCGUGAGGGAAAGGCGAAAAGAACCCCGGCGAGGGGAGUGAAAAAGAACCUGAAACCGUGUACGUACAAGCAGUGGGAGCCCCACCACUAAGCCAGUGGUGAACUCCACAUACGCAUCCUUUGCUGAGGAUACGGUUAACGGAGCGCAAGCGACGUUCAACCGCAAAAGAAGCAGAGGGGGCUUAGUGGUGGGGUGACUGCGUACCUUUUGUAUAAUGGGUCAGCGACUUAUAUUCUGUAGCAAGGUUAACCG